AGAACCGUCAAGAAAAUAUAUAUCCAGAGCUGCAGAGUUAAUAACCAUGGACUAACGUUCCGCUUGGUGCCCUCACAGCCAGAGAGCCUUGGUUUCUGAUGUGUGUGAUAUUAUCAUGACCGUAGGGAUGUUGCAAGGCAGGGGAGUUGAGAGGGCAAGGUUUGGAUGGGCAGAAUGGAGAGGGCUAGGGCUGAAUAAGAAGCUUUAAACCCCCAGGAGAGAUAGUAGGAGUCAGAGCCUGUUUGAUCGGAUUAUUUUGGAAAAAAAGAAAAUUGUCUGUGUGUUUGUGUGUGUGUACUUAGAUUUGGAGACCUCACAGCAGACUAAAGCCCAGGGAUACUUGCUCAAGUCCCUCUGCCUGAGAGUUCUGUUCACAGCUGGGGAGGACCAGAGCCAGGCCAUGUGUCCCACCAUCCACCACUGCACCAUUUUCCCCAAAUUACUGAAAUCAUCUCCUCUCACUCUUGUCUUUCCAUUCUGUGCUCACACUCCUCAAAGUGUUCUUUAGGAAACACACAUCACUUGUGUCGCCUCCUUGCAUGAAACUCCCUGGCUCUCACAGUUCAUGCCAGCCUUUCCCAUGGCUUCUGAGCCUCCUGCUUCCUGGCCCCAUCUCCCGCUCUGGCUCCCACCUGCCACUGAUGAGUUCAGCCACGCCGUCCUUUUGGAUCCAGUUGUUCAUCUGGAAUCAAACUCGGGACCUUGUGCUUGCGAGGCAGGUGGCGGAACCACUGAAUUAAAUCGCCGGCCCAGAGGAGUCUGUAUCUUUAACCACCUGAGUGACUCUGCCUGGCCAGAAGUUCAUCUGGCUGUCCUUUAAGGUCCUUGGGCAGAAGAGAUAAACCAAGCACCAGGAAACUCCCAACUCAAGACAAAGCACAAAGGGAUACUGGGGACCCCUGAAACAUUACUGGAAACCUCUGCAGUAGGCUCCAAUCUCCUGCCCAGUGUAUGAACCAGGCCUGAGAGGAAAAAAAAAAACUAAACGAAUAAGAGAGACAGAAAUCAGGGCACCAGGACAACCAAUGCCAGUGCAACCAACAAAGGCACUGGCCAGUCCAAACACUGAUUUUUAUUGGUAAUCAAUUGGGGUAAAGGCAUGCCAUGUGCAAGGGCGGCACUACAUGUGAAGAUGCACAGUCGUGGGGUUUCUAUGGAAAUUAAUGCAAGCAAGCCUUGUAAAGGACAAGACAAAGCCUUCUCAAAUUAGGAACAGAAUAGACAAAAUAUAUGGUUGUAAUUAAAACAUUCCUUCUAGUUAGAAGGUUUUAGUUGUGGGAACAGAAUUUGGG
rnacentral:lncRNA from 1 species